CCCUUCAGGGUAUUGGACGACGUUACUUAGGUCACGCAAAAGGAAGUGCAGUCAGCACUUGGACGACGUUACUUAGGUCACGCAAAAGGAAGUGCAGUCAGCACUUGGACGACGUUACUUGGAUUUGCUAUAUUGUUGUGGUUUCACAUUCAGCAUUGUGGUUGUACGUUCAGCACUAGGGCAUCAUAUUCAGCAUUGUCGCCACAUAGGAGAGGGUUUCAGUUUAGUUGACUUCACGUUGAUGAUCUUUAGUCCACAUCAAUGAUUACUGUCCGCAUUUUCUUUAGUGUGGUCCAUACUUUCAGUAUUGCGAUCGCACUGUUUGGCUUUAAUGCUUUUGCAAGUUGUUGGUUCUUAAAGUUCAGUGAUGUGUGAUUGCAGUUGAUAGUGCAACCAUCAUAUACUUCCGCACAUUUCUAUCACGGUCAGCACUCUGAAAGACUGCAUGCAACUGAUUUAUCUUGGCUUCAGGUCCGUGGUUUGUGGCCCUAACAGCUUAAGUGUGUUCUGCACUUUUUUCGUAGCGAACUACAAUUAUUUCUUCACUUCUCAAUUUUUGAACUUUUCCCUUCAACUCGAUGUCUUCAACUCAUUUCAUC
rnacentral:lncRNA from 1 species